AUAUCAAUAAGCGGAGGAGAAGAAACUAACAAGGAUUGCCCUAGUAACGGCGAGCGAACCGGCAAAAGCCCAACUUGUAAAUCUCCAUUGGAGAAUUGUAGUCUAUAGAAGUACCCUCUGCAACGGGCGGAGCUCAAGUCUUCUGGAAAGGAGCGUCAGAGAGGGUGAGAACCCCGUCGGCUCUUGCUUAGUUGCCACACGAGGUGCUUUCAAAGAGUCGGGUUGCUUGGGAAUGCAGCCCUAAUUUGGUGGUAAAUCCCAUCUAAGGCUAAAUACCGGCGAGAGACCGAUAGCGAACAAGUACCGUGAGGGAAAGAUGAAAAGAACUUUGAAAAGAGAGUUAAAUAGUGCUUGAAAUUGUUGAGGGGGAAGCGUUUGAAUGCUANGGUGCGCUUAGGCUUAUGUUGUCUUAACGGGCAGCUGUAUGCGCUAAGUGUUGGCCAGCAUGGGUUGGGCUGGUAGGAUAACCGCUGGGAUUUGUUCCUGGUCUAUACUACCGGCUCGACCAAGGCGUGAAGACUGCCCUUGUCCUUCGGGAACUGCAGUCUCAAGAUGCUGGCGAAAAGCUUUCAACCGACCCGUCUUGAAACACGGACCAAGGAGUCUAACAUGUAUGCGAGCUGGUGGGUGGAAAACCCAUGAAGCGCAAGUAACCUGACUGGUGGGAUGGCUUACGCCUGCACCAUCGACCGACCAUGAUCUUCUGUGAAAGGUUUGAGUACGAGCAUACCUGUUGGGACCCGAAAGAUGGUGAACUAUGCCUGAACACGGCGAAACCAGAGGAAACUCUGGUGGAGGCUCGUAGAUGUGCUGACGUGCAAAUCGCUUUUCGGACUUGGGUAUAGGGGCGAAAGACUAAUCGAACCAUCUAGUAGCUGGUUUCCUCCGAAGUUUCCCCCAGGAUAGCUGGAGCUUGUAUCAGUUCUAUCAGGUAAAGCGAAUGAUUAGAGGUUCGGGGGAUGAAACAUCCUUCACCUAUUCUCAAACUUUAAAUAGGUAGGACGUCCCGGUUGCUUAAUUGAACCGUGGCAUUCAAUGAGAGCUCCAAGUGGGCCAUUUUUGGUAAGCAGAACUGGCGAUGCGGGAUGAACCGAUAGUCGAGUUAAGGUGCCAAACUACGCGCUAACCUAGAUCCCACAAAGGGUGUUGAUUGAUAUAGACAGCAGGACGGUGGUCAUGGAAGUCAAAAUCCGCUAAGGAGUGUGUAACAACUCACCUGCCGAAUCAACUAGCCUCGAAAAUGGAUGGCGCUGAAGCGCGUGACCUAUACUCGGCCAUGGAAACAAGUGCGAAGUUUCCAUGANUANGAAGACGUGGAUAUCGUUGCGCAGCCUGGGGCGUGAGCCUGGGUGAAACGGUAUCUAGUGCAGAUCUUGGUGGUAGUAGCAAAUAUUCAAAUGAGAACUUUGAAGACUGAAAUGGAAAAAGGUUCCAUGUGAACAGCAAUUGGACAUGGGUUAGUCCAUCCUAAGAGAUGGGGUAAUCCUGUAUCAAGAGCGCACUUGUGCGCUGCCCAUCGAAAGGGAAAAGGGUUAAGAUUCCCUUACCUGGACAGGGCGGCUGACGGUAACGUAAGCGAGCCUGCAGACAUCGGCAUUGGCCCUGGGAAGAGUUCUCUUUUCUUUUUAACAGCUCGAAGGCCCUGGAAUCGAAUCAUUCGGAGAUAGGGCUCAGAAGCUGGUAAAGUACCGCACUUCUCGCGGUAUCCGGAGCGCCAAUGACGGUCCUUGAAAAUGCAGGGGAGCAAUUUCCGAUCCUGCCAAGUCGUACUCAUAACCGCAUCAGGUCUCCAANGUGAACAGCCUCUAGUCGAUAAAACAAUGUAGAUAAGGGAAUCGGCAAAAUGGAUCCGUAACUUCGGGAAAAGGAUUGGCUCUGAGGGUUGGGCUUAGGGGUCUGCAUCUGGAAGCUCCGGACUGUCUAUGGACUGCUAAUGCGGCUUCGGUUGCCUUGGUGGACCGUCGCGUGUUUGGGGUGGAUGGGUGUAGAAGCUUCGGCGUUCCCUAAGCGACGAACAACCGACUCAGAACUGGUACGGACAAGGGGAAUCCGACUGUUUAAUUAAAACAAAGCAUUGUGAUGGCCUAAAAAAAGUGUUGACACAAUGUGAUUUCUGCCCAGUGCUCUG
rnacentral:rRNA from 1 species